rnacentral:rRNA from 1 species
UACGAAGGGGGCUAGCGUUGCUCGGAAUUACUGGGCGUAAAGCGCACGUAGGCGGCUUUCUAAGUCGGGGGUGAAAUCCUGGAGCUCAACUCCAGAACUGCCUUCGAUACUGGAAAGCUCGAGUCCGGGAGAGGUGAGUGGAACUGCGAGUGUAGAGGUGAAAUUCGUAGAUAUUCGCAAGAACACCAGUGGCGAAGGCGGCUCACUGGUCCAUUACUGACGCUGAGGUGCGAAAGCGUGGGGAGCAAACAGG